GAUGAACGCUAGCGGCAGGCUUAAUACAUGCAAGUCGAGGGGCAGCACAGGUAGCAAUACUGGGUGGCGACCGGCAAACGGGUGCGGAACACGUACACAACUUACCUUAGAGUGGGGGAUAGCCCAGGGCAACUUGGAUUAAUACCCCAUAAAACAGGGGGCCCGCAUGGGCAUAUUGUUAAAGAUUUAUCGCUUUAAGAUGGGUGUGCGUAUGAUUAAGUAGUUGGUAGGGUAAAGGCCUACCAAGCCGACGAUCAUUAACUGGUGUGAGAGCACGACCAGUCACACGGGCACUGAGACACGGGCCCGACUCCUACGGGAGGCAGCAGUAAGGAAUAUUGGUCAAUGGACGGAAGUCUGAACCAGCCAUGCCGCGUGAAGGAUGAAGGUCCUCUGGAUUGUAAACUUCUUUUAUAGGGGGCGAAAAAGGGCCUUUUCAGGUCAACUGACGGUACCCUAUGAAUAAGCACCGGCUAACUCCGUGCCAGCAGCCGCCGUAACAC
rnacentral:rRNA from 1 species